rnacentral:rRNA from 1 species
AUGAACGCUGGCGGCGUGUCUAAGGCAUGCAAGUCGUGCGGACGCAGCUCGCAAGAGUUGUGUUAGCGGCAAACGGGUGAGUAACACAUUGGUAACCUGCCUCGAAGACGGGCAUAACUUCGCGAAAGCGAUGCUAAUUCCCGAUGGUCUCCGACCCACUUAAGUGGCGUCGGAGUAAAGUACAAAAUACACUUCGAGAGGGGCCUAUGUCCUAUCAGCUAGUUGGUGAGGUAACGGCUCACCAAGGCAACGACGGGUAGCAGGCGUGAGAGCGUGACCUGCCUCACUGGGACUGAGACACUGCCCAGACACCUACGGGUGGCUGCAGUCAAGAAUAUUCCCCAAUGGACGAAAGUCUGAGGGAGCGACGCCGCGUGCAGGAUGAAGGCCUUCGGGUUGUAAACUGCUUUUUUCUGGGACGAAUUCUGACGGUACCAGAAGAAUAAGAGGUUGCUAACUCUGU